UACGUAGGGGGCAAGCGUUGUCCCGGAUUUAUUGGGCGUAAAGAGCGUGUAGGCGGCCAGGUAGGUCUGCUGUGAAAACUCGAGGCUCAACCUCGAGACGUCGGCGGAAACCAUCUGGCUAGAGUCCGGAAGAGGAGAGUGGAAUUCCUGGUGUAGCGGUGAAAUGCGCAGAUAUCAGGAAGAACACCCGUGGCGAAGGCGGCUCUCUGGGACGGUACUGACGCUGAGACGCGAAAGCGUGGGGAGCGACAGG
rnacentral:rRNA from 1 species